AUUGAACGCUGGCGGCAGGCCUAACACAUGCAAGUCGAGCGGAUGAGAGGAGCUUGCUCCUCGAUUCAGCGGCGGACGGGUGAGUAAUGCCUAGGAAUCUGCCUAGUAGUGGGGGACAACGUUUCGAAAGGAACGCUAAUACCGCAUACGUCCUACGGGAGAAAGUGGGGGAUCUUCGGACCUCACGCUAUUAGAUGAGCCUAGGUCGGAUUAGCUAGUUGGUAGGGUAACGGCCUACCAAGGCGACGAUCCGUAACUGGUCUGAGAGGAUGAUCAGUCAAACUGGAACUGAGACACGGUCCAGACUCCGACGGGAGGCAGCAGUGGGGAAUAUUGGACAAUGGGCGAAAGCCUGAUCCAGCCAUGCCGCGUGUGUGAAGAAGGCCCUCGGGUCGUAAAGCACUUUAAGUUGGGAGGAAGGGCUUACAGCGAAUACCUGUGAGUUUUGACGUUACCGACAGAAUAAGCACCGGCUAACUUCGUGCCAGCAGCCGCGGUAA
rnacentral:rRNA from 1 species